rnacentral:rRNA from 1 species
UACAGGGGGUGCAAACGUUGCUCGGAAUUAUUGGGCGUAAAGCGCGCGUAGGCGGCUACUUAAGUCGGAUGUGAAAGCCCUUGGCUCAACUGAGGAAGUGCACCCGAAACUGAGUGGCUUGAGUACUAAAGAGGGUCGCGGAAUUCCCGGUGUAGAGGUGAAAUUCGUAGAUAUCGGGAGGAACACCGGUGGCGAAGGCGGCGACCUGGGUAGAUACGUGACGCUGAGGCGCGAAGGCGUGGGGAGCAAACAGG